UACAGAGGUCCCAAGCGUUGUUCGGAUUCAUUGGGCGUAAAGGGUGUGUAGGUGGCGCCGUAAGUCGGGUGUGAAAUCUCGGGGCUUAACUCCGAAACUGCAUUCGAUACUGCGGUGCUUGAGGACUGGAGAGGAGACUGGAAUUCAUGGUGUAGUGGUGGAAUGCGUAGAGAUCGGCAGGAACACCCAGGGGGAAACCAGCCGACUGGGCAUCUACUGACGCUGAGGUGCGAGAGCGUGGGGAGCGAACCGG
rnacentral:rRNA from 1 species